UCCCUGGUAGUAUAUCGGUUAGUACACGCGCCUGUCACGUAUGUCAUAUAUCUUGGCUGUCACGCGCGAAAGCUGGGUUCGACUCCCAGCCAGGGAG